CCUACGGGAGGCAGCAGUGAGGAAUAUUGGUCAAUGGACGAGAGUCUGAACCAGCCAAGUAGCGUGAAGGAUGACUGCCCUAUGGGUUGUAAACUUCUUUUAUAUGGGAAUAAAAUGUUCCACGUGUGGGGUUUUGUAUGUACCAUAUGAAUAAGGAUCGGCUAACUCCGUGCCAGCAGCCGCGGUAAUACGGAGGAUCCGAGCGUUAUCCGGAUUUAUUGGGUUUAAAGGGAGCGUAGAUGGGUUGUUAAGUCAGUUGUGAAAGUUUGCGGCUCAACCGUAAAAUUGCAAUUGAUACUGGCAGUCUUGAGUACAGUGGAGGUAGGCGGAAUUCGUGGUGUAGCGGUGAAAUGCUUAGAUAUCACGAAGAACUCCGAUUGCGAAGGCAGCUUACUAAACUGCCACUGACAUUGAUGCUCGAAAGUGUGGGUAUCAAACAGGAUUAGAUACCCCGGUAGUC
rnacentral:rRNA from 1 species